rnacentral:lncRNA from 1 species
AACAGCCAUGAACAAAAAAUUGCUUCUACCGUUUAACAAGCACAAACGACCCCCACCCCCCUGAACUUGUCUUUUUCAACACACCCCACCUAACCUAGACACACCCUCCAGUCGUUACCCCUUUCCUCUACACAAAUAGAAAAUCCCUGAACUUCUACCGCCAGCGACCAUCCUUGAACUUUCAUCGGAAAAACACGCACACACACACAACUGUUGCUAGCCUCUAACUCAUUAAAAACAACAGCUAGACCAUUUGAAAACGACCACCAUUUCUAGAUCCAAAGCUCGAGCUAGAACCAGUCAAAAGUUUCGGUUACCAGCUCUGUGCCAUCCCGUUCGUGGUCGUCGAGUCUGUGUUCCGUUUAGGGUCAUUCUCUGGUUCAUAUUUUGAAGUGCAAUUUUGGAUUCAUCAAUAAAAUGUCCUUUUGACUAACUUGGAAGCAAACAGAAGUUCAUUUCGUGCCUCUUUUACAUGAUUAUUUGAAUGUGUUGAGUGAGUUGUUUGUUUAAUGUUGUUUGAUAUGCCUUAAUGAUUCUGUUCAUUUGCAUGCUAUUCCGAUUAGCUUGUUGGAUCCUUUCUGAUUAAGCUACUAUUUUAGUAUGCUUAAAAUUAGUUAGUUUGGUGAUGAUUUGUUUAUGUUGAUUUAAUGCUUUGAACAAUGGAAUUGUGAAGUCCAAGAUCAAACCUCUGCUCGUUUCAUUUUCUUCUCGCCAUAUGAAUCUGGGUUAUCAAAUAAAGUGAUUGAAUAAAAAGCCGUAGACUUUUGUGUAAUGUUUUGCUAGAGAAGUUGAUGAACUAUUUCAUUAUUGAAGUGAUUUAAUAAUUGUAGAUAUAGUCGUUGUUAAGUAUAUAAACAAAUGUUGUUACCUACUUUAUUACAAGUAAUUUGAGAGUAAAUAGGUCAUCGUGACUAUGGGUACGGUUUCCGUGACAUAGCCACGAAACGUAAAUCUCAAUUCGGGUGUGCAUUUCAUGUGACCCGACCAUAAUUUCGAAUAAUAAUAAUUAAAAUAAACAUGUUAUAAAUCUGGGUGUGCAUUUCAUGUGACUCGACUUCAAUUUCCAAUAAUGUUAAAUAAAAUAAACAUGCCGUGAACCACGGGUGCAUUUCAUGUAGCGUGAUUUACGAUUGAUUUUAAAAAAAAAAGUGUAUGACGAUAUUCAAUUUUCCUAAAAAUAUUAAAAGCGUCUAAAAAGUUAAAAAUGCACAAUAGGUUUAAAAUGUGUAUAAAAUCAGAUAAUUAGGCCAAUAAUAAUAGUUGAGCAACCGUGCUAAACCCACGGAACCCGGGAAUGCCUAACACCUUCUUCCGGUUUAGCAGAAUUCCUUACUCGGAUUUCUGUAUUCGCGGAGCAUAAUUAGAGUCAAACAUUCAUCGAUUCGAGAUUUGAACCGGUGACUUGGGACACCAUAAAUAUCCCAAGUAGCGACUCUGAAUUUUAAAUAAAAUAAUCCCAUUUUGAUUGUCACUUAAAUUGGAAAAAACUCUCUUAUACUCCCUUCGGGUGGAAGAAAAAGGAGGUGUGACAACUCUGGCGACUCUGCUGGGGACAAGAACCCAGAACCUCUGGUUCAGGAUUAAGAAUUCGAGCUUAGAGUAUCUGUUAUAGUUGGCUUUUUUGUUAUCUGAUUUUUAUAUGUUUGAGCCUAAUGUGCUAAUUGCCGCUUUUUACUGCUUUGAUAUUGUCUUAAUUGUAUAUAAACUGUUAUGAAACCCUCCUCUCUCUGAGUCUUCUAAAUCAUCUAGGAAGUGUUCACUUCGUGUGACUUCUCUUCUGUUAGAAUCAUAUCCCAAUUUUAGAACAAGGUUCGGACAAAUUGCAAAGCCGGUGAAGCUUCUGUAUUUCCGGUACGCUGCCCCCCCUCGGCUCGAGCUGUCUGCUCGGGUAAGCCAAGUCUAGACCAAAUAAACCCAGGUAGAACGUUUAUUUGAAUCACUUGCAUUUGACUUAGGGGACUCAACAGAGGGGUUGGGUCCGUCUAGGACAUGUGUACCAAAAAAAUAAAAAAGAUCAUCCUGAUGCAUCCUUUGUGCUACAUGUUGCAACCUUCAAGGGUAAAAGGAGCCAUUUGCCGAACCAAUGAGGUUUGAGGAUAAAUGAGAAAGAAAAGAGGUUGAACUGUGAACUUAACAAUAUUAACAAUUUCUAACAAUUAUGUUUUCUGUCACAUUUUUAUUAAGAAAAAAAAAACUUGAAAAAUUCAAAAAAAAAAAAGAUUUUGCACUUUUUCAUCAUUUUCCAAAAAUCAUAAAAUCAAAAAAAAAAGGAAAAAGGAAAAAAAAUCCAAAAAAAGUUUACAUGUUUCAUCAUUUUCAAAAAAAAAAAAGAGAUAACAAAUAUGUUUUCUUCAAAACAAUAUUUUUUUAUUUCUCGCCCGUAUCCAAUCUGCCCGAACUACGCAUACCUGAUUCUCAUCUCUCGGGGCGUGAUACGUAGGCAACCUACAUAGGGUUCGGUCUUCCUAGUGAGUCUUAGGUUUUUGGCUUCGCGGGGUCUUAGCCAAAUCUGGCAUUUUAGCCACUUUAGCAACAUAGGUUAAUUUUAGAAAAAUAGUCACAAUCAUGUGUCUAACAAGAAGGGUUAUUAUCUCACAUAGCGUUCUAGAUCUUUAACUUAUUUGGUUUUAAUUUUUUUCAUACAGGUGUGGGUUUGCUUACCAGAGUUUGAGCAUGACAGACGCCCGGGACAUCCAGUCAGG